GGAAGGAUCAUUAACACUAAUCCACAUCACCUUAACCUAGCCUAUUAUGCAGCAAACGGUACUAGCUAGCGAAAGCAGGCCUGUGCCUUUGUCGCAUCAAACAAAUCUAACUAUUCAAAGGAGCCUAAUUAAGCUCAAUCACAAAAACCAAAUUCUCAACGAUGGAUAUCUUGGUUCCCAUAACGAUGAAGAACGCAGCGAAGUGCGAUAAGCAAUGCGAAUUGCAGAACCGUGAGUCAUCAGAUUUUUGAACGCAAUUGGCGCCAGUUGGCUCCCCAACCGGCAUGCUUGCUUCAGUGUCUUGUUUUCUCCUCACCAAAACCUUAAUGUGAGAGAUACCCUUCUCUUACUAAGUACGAAAGCACUCUGAGCUCUGCGAGCGGCUUAUGGUCGCACUCAAUGCAGCAGUCACAUUGUUCACAAUGUGAACUCAUUGAGAGUAGAGUCAGCGCAACUUGUUGCUAGUGCUUAGGCCCUCAAACUCUUCUUGCAUCUGAAGUCAAGCAGGAUAACCCGCUGAACUUAAGCAUAUCACUAAGCGGAGGAAAAGAAAUUAACUAAGAUUGCCUCAGUAACGGCGAGUGAAGCGGCAAAAGCCCAAACUGGAAAUCUUCGGCCUUCGGUCGACGAAUUGUAAUCUAGAGGACGGUAGCUCACCUGGCUGCGGCGCAGAAGUGCCCUAGAAUGGGCCGCCAGAGAGGGUGACAGCCCCGUAUGUGGUGCCGCGGCUUAACGAGCUCCUUCCUAAGAGUCGGGUUGUUUUGAAUUGCAGCCCUAAUCCGGGAGAUAGACUUCUUCUAAGGCUAAAUAUUUAUGGGAAACCGAUAGCGAACAAGUACUGUGAAGGAAAGAUGAAAAGAACUUUGAAAAGAGAGUCAAAAGACUUGAAAUCGUUGAGACGGAAGCGGUAGCAAUUUAUUCUUCGGGCUGAAUGAUGGUGUUCGACAUCCGUAUUGGCGAGUAGGAGUACAGCAAUGGCUCUCAUUUCCACCUGCGGACUCGAUAGCUGGAUUCUCACCCGUGAGGCAAGAUGAGGCUCCACAUCCACAAAGGCUGAGUUGACCUGGGCUGGUUCGCUGGUCAGUCUGCUUGUGCCGGUGGGCGUGGUGCCUGAGGAAGCCUUGUGCGAUCUUGCCAAAAUGGUUGUUACCGACCCGUCUUGAAACACGGACCAAGGAGUCUAACAUAUAUGCGAGUGUGCUGGCGGAAAAACCAACACGCGUAAUGAAAGUAAUUGAUGCCAAGCGCAAGCAGCAGCAUCAACCGACCAUGAUCCUCCGGUGAAAGGUUUGAGUAUGAGCAUAUCUGUUAGGACCCGAAAGAUGGUGAACUAUGCCUGGGUAGGGUGAAGCCAGGGGAAACUCUGGUGGAGGCUCGUAGCGGUUCUGACGUGCAAAUCGAUCGUCAAACUUGGGUAUAGGGGCGAAAGACUAAUCGAACCAUCUAGUAGCUGGUUCCCUC
rnacentral:misc_RNA from 1 species